CUACAACAGCUGCACCUUUCACUUUGACCCCUGAGCCUGUGUAUAUCCUCUCAGUAGACUUGGAAAGAGAAACUUUCUCAGAUGCCCUUACUGACACCAGCAGCAAUGAAUUCAAGAACCUUGAAGCAAGAGUCUUAAACACAUGCUCUGCGAUAUACAAAAAAGAAUUUGGAAAAAAGUUUCAACACUGCAAAGUGAAAAAGUUCAGUGCCUUACCUUCAACACGAGCGACUGGAACUGAAGCAACUAUUGAGGUUGUGUUCAAUAGGAGUACUCCUAUAGCAGAUCUCCCACAGAAUAAUGUUGUUGCUGAAAUCUUAAAAAAAGCUGUGACUAAUACCAACAAUACGUUCAAUGUGAGCAUAAAUCCGGACUCAGUCAAAAUACUAGAAGGUCCAGUUCCAGGUACAACCACCGGACUUACAACUGCAGCACCUACAACUGCAGCAACUACAACUGCUGUACCUACAACAGCUGCAUCUACAACAUCAGCGCCUACAACAGCUGCACCUAUCACUUUGACCCCUGAGCCUGUGUAUAUCCUCUCAGUUGACAUGGAAAGAGAA